rnacentral:rRNA from 1 species
ACGAACGCUGGCGGCAUGCCUAACACAUGCAAGUCGAACGAUGGUCUUCGGAUCAUAGUGGCGCACGGGUGCGUAACGCGUGGGAAUCUGCCCUUGGGUUCGGAAUAACAGUUGGAAACGACUGCUAAUACCGGAUGAUGUCGAUAAGACCAAAGAUUUAUCGCCCGAGGAUGAGCCCGCGUCGGAUUAGCUAGUUGGUGGGGUAAAGGCCUACCAAGGCGACGAUCCGUAGCUGGUCUGAGAGGAUGAUCAGCCACACUGGGACUGAGACACGGCCCAGACUCCUACGGGAGGCAGCAGUGGGGAAUAUUGGACAAUGGGCGCAAGCCUGAUCCAGCAAUGCCGCGUGAGUGAUGAAGGCCUUAGGGUUGUAAAGCUCUUUUACCCGGGAAGAUAAUGACUGUACCGGGAGAAUAAGCCCCGGCUAACUCCGUG